AAGCUGAGCUCUUCCAGCUCUACCACCGCUGUCAUCUUUGUAAAGUAUUCCUAUUUGAAUUUUCCUCUUCAUUUAAUACAAGACCAGAAAGGGUAAAACCAAGGAUUUGACAGUGCCGUAAACCAGUCUUUUAUUAUCAAGUGUUGUUCUGUCAAGAUUAGAGCCAUCCCUCUUCAACCUCAGACAAUUAAGACUGUAAAUGCAAAGAGGAGACUCAUUUCAUCUGCUUGGAAUUGGACAAACUCAGAAGCCAGGAUGAAAACUGGCCAGGACAAUGCCAUGCUCCACCUCACAGAACAGAGAUCCACAUGAAAGAGUGAAAAGGAGCCUGGCUCCUCCUCCAGCAACGGAAGAUGUGGGUCAAUAGAGAAAGGUGUAAACUGAUACAAAUCGGACAUUUGGAUUCUGUGUAUGAAGGGCAGGCACCACUGACUUCCAUCAAAGUUGUAGGAAUUAAAAAAACUGGUGGUGUUUUAUAUGGAAUACUUAAAUUCUUUCAGUGUAAAUUACUUUUGUUAUUAACUUCUAUGAAACUGGACCAUUAACAAUCCUGUAUGUGUUACUUUCCUCCUAGUUAUCACUGCAGUCAACUGCAAGCGUUACUUUACUCUUUUAAUGUUAUUUUACUAUUUUAACUGGAAUACAGCCUUGAAAAAGUGCAAGCACUAUUCAUAAUACAACGUUGAGAUUAUUAAAGUUAGAGAUAUACAAACACAGUAAAAGAUAAAAAAACUAUAUUUGGGUUAAUUUGUGGGCUUCUUUUCUGUAAAAAUAAACUUUGGAAGUCUCUUAAAAACCUCUUGUGUAUUCUCAGAAACAUCCUUAACUCAUUAUAAGCUGAACUGUCACUUUUAUUAUUGUGUGUAUUAGACAUUGCUUAAAUUAAAAACAUUAAUCAGAAAACUGCUGUCCUAACCAAAGAAAAUAUUGCCCAGUCUAAAAUUCAAAUAUUAAAUAAUGUAAUUUAUAGUCUGUGGGGCUCAUAAGAUCUG